GACUUAGAAUGACCCAGAUGAACACAGAAAUAUUGCUGUAAAUUUGCAGAUGGAUAAUCUUGGGCUAGAAAUUAAUGUGGUUUACUCAAGGUAACCCAGCUUGCAACAGAAUAAAGAUUUGGACUCUGGUGGCAGGCUGUCAGAAUGUGACAAUAGAAAUGGAGAAUGGAAAAACAGAACAAGGAUGGAAAUUUGUGCCUCUGUUUGGCAUGAACUUGUGUGAAAAUAUCCAGAGGUCAGAGAUUAACAUCCACUAAUAUAAAGUAUAUCUUACCUGAUAAUGAAAGAGUCCAGAAGUCACUUAAAUGGUGGCAGAAAAAACUUAACCACAUAUCAAACUUACAUGCAUAUACUGAAAAACCAAGUUCUACCCCGCCAAAAGAUUUUUUGUAUCAGCUAUUCAAAACAACUACAUGAAGUUACAACUAAUCCAUGUGCUGAUGAGCAGAGAAUACAAAUGACUGAAAUAACAGUUUCAAAUGAAAAUUCCUCUUUAGGAGAAAGAAAAGAGGAAGGUACAGCAACUUGAAGAGUGGAAAUGUUGAAUUUAGCCCGAAAUUGGCAGGGGUGUGUGUGUCUGUCCCUAGCCACACCUGCAGACUGUUAUUUUGUCUUAGUUACUCCAGUUGGCCUGCAGUAGCCUCUCUCCAUUCAAAGUAAAGGAGGAACAGCAGGAAGUGUUAAAAGGGGAAGAGCAGAAGUUGAAUCAUUUGCCCUUGAACUCCAGAGGGCUUCUGCUUUUUUUUUUUUUUUUUUUUUUUUUUGAGACACAGUCUCACUGUGUCACCGAGGCUGGAGUGCAGUGGUGCAAUCUCAGCUCACUGCAACCUCUGCCUCCUGGGUUCAAGCCAUUCUUGUGACUCAGCCUCCCAAGUAGCUGGAAUUACAGGUGUGCACCACCAUGACCAGCUAAUUUUUCUAUUUUUUGUAGAGACAGGGUUUCACCAUGUUGGCUAGGCUAGUAUCAAACUCCUGACCUCAGGUGAUCCACCCGCCUUGGCCUUCCAAAGUGCUGGGAUUACGGGCUUGAGCCACCAUGCCCAGCCCUGCUUGCUUUUUCUGUGACCAUCAGGCAGGUGCCUCAGUUUCUAAGAUCUAGAAAGUGUGAAUAAUAAUUUCUACCUCAUAGAGUUAUGGAAAAUAAUAACAAUCAGUAACUUUAUAUAUAAAACCUUAUUAAAAAGUCUUACUAUACAUGCCAGUGACUAUGCCAAAUGCUUUAUCUCAUCUGACUCUCAAAUCAACACUGUGAGAUGGCCACCAUGUUCAGAUGAGAAAAGGACACAGCUGAUAAGCUGAGAAAGCCCAUUUCAAGUUCAAAGGAAGGCAACUGUAGUUCAAAGGAAGGCAAUUGUAUUCUAGAGCUGGGGUUCAUAACCACUUUGCUGUCUAGCUUUCCCAACUCAAAGUGCUAAUUAUUGCUUUGUAAACUUGGAGCCAAAGGAAAUCCUGGGGUUCAUAGGGAAUAAUUUCCUCGUGGCCAGAGCUAAAUACAGAUGGAACAGAUUGUCUUCUGCAGUAAGACACUCCCCAUCAUUGUAGCGGGAAGCGGCUGGGUGACCACUUGGAGAUGUUGGAGAGAGAGAUGAGCUGGAGAGGGUGGUGAGCUCUACUUCUCUAAGGUCCAUUCUAAUCUUGCAAUUUUAUGAUUCUUUGUCUGAACUCUAGAUUUCUAAUAACCUCUCUCUGGAACCUGAUGGUUGUUUAUUUUCCUAGGCAAUUCCUACUCCUUUCUCUGGUCUUUCUUCCACUUCUUUAUUUUCUCAUGAUCCUAGCAUGCUAUAAUGGAAAGAACCAGGGAUUUGAAAUAUAAAAGCCCUGGAUGUGAAUGUUCAAUCACCCUUAUAACAGUUAAUUGAUACUUGACAAGGUACUAAGACUUCCUCUCGUGAGGAUUUCCUCAUCUAUAAAAUAAGAGGAAGUAACUUAGUGGUUAGGUAGUUGAGAACAUU
rnacentral:lncRNA from 1 species